rnacentral:misc_RNA from 1 species
UUAAGUUCAGCGGGUAUCCCUACCUGAUCCGAGGUCAACCUUAAGAAGUGGGUUGGUGGUCGCCGGCGCCGGCCGGGCCUGCAGAGCGGGUGACGAAGCCCCAUACGCUCGAGGACCGGACGCGGUGCCGCCGCUGCCUUUCGGGCCCGUCCCCGGGGAGGCGGGGACGGCGGCCCAACACACAAGCCGUGCUUGAGGGC